rnacentral:rRNA from 1 species
AGGAUGAAUGCUGGCGGCGCGCCUAACACAUGCAAGUCGAGCGGUAAGGCCCUUAGGGGUACACGAGCGGCGGACGGCUGAGUAACGCGUGGGAACAUGCCCCAAAGUGAGGAAUAACUGCCCGAAAAGGGUAGCUAAUGCCGCAUAUGAUCUUAGGAUUAAAGGAUUUAUCCGCUUUGGGAGUGGCCUGCGUACGAUUAGAUAGUUGGUGAGGUAAAGGCUCACCAAGUCUACGAUCGUUAACUGUUCUGAGAGGAUGAUCAGUCAGACUGGAACUGAGACACGGUCCAGACUCCUACGGGAGGCAGCAGUGAGGAAUCUUCCACAUGGGCGAAA